CUGUGUGCUAUUAGUCUGUGUGUGUUCAUUCAUUCUUUGUCCAAGUGUCUGUUAUGAUACCUUGUCUCCAUGAUUAUGUAUUUAUGCCAGGUGUCCAUGUCCCAGGGUUCUAUUAUGUUUAGUUCACCCAUUUUAGGUUAUGAUUUAGUUUUGCCUUUGUUUUGUAUCUCUUAGUCCAGCCUCUAAUAAACGGGUUGUUUUCAGUUAAUAUUAAGUUGUGUUAUUUUGCAUGUCUGCACUUGGGUCCACCUUCUACACUUCUUAUCGUCUGCCUCAGCCAGACUGUGAUACAAUGCUCUGACCAUGACGGACCCAGCGACACGCAGCCCCCCCCAGACGAGCUCAAGGAGAGGCUAAUUCACACUGUGGGGGAUUGAUGCGGCACGUGGUGGGAGCUCUCGGGAAAAGAGGCGCGGGAAGAAAAGGUUUAUCAGCUGCAGGGAUGUUUUGAGGCAUUUCCCUGGUUAUGGGAGGUAGAACACCCUCUGAUAGCCGACUUUUUCCACACCACCCUCCAAAUCCAUUCACAGCACCAGCUGGCCAGUGUGCGGGCUGAAUCUUCCCAGCCCUGCGGUGAUGCAGCUCUCCCUUCACCGGCCACAGGAGUAAAGGUCGGUGCUCUCAGACUGUCGUCUGUCUUCAUGCCCAUGUCGGCGCAGCAGCGGACAAGUGUUGUGUUUUCCUUGCCGCAACUGGAGGCUGCGUCUACCUCAGCUGUAAUGGCUCCUGCCUCCACAACUAUGGCGUCCAGGAAGAGGCGGCAUCCACAUCACCACCGCGGCUUACAGCAGCGUGAGGCCAACUGAGGCUCCGCUUUGUCCUUCACCUGUAUCUGUUCUUCAGGUGAGACAGCUGAUGCCCAGCAACCGCCUGCAAGCCCAGUCACUGAGUCUGGUACUACUGAUUUUUCCUUGUGGGAUGUGGAACCAAAUAAUGUGCUAAUUGAGACUGAAUCUAUGAACAUUAAUCCUGUGACCAGCUCCAGUGUUAAUGGCCUUGAUUAUGAACUGCUGGGCAAUGUUUCCAUGGACAAUGAUAUUAUGAGCAUUUUUCAUGUACCUGAACUAACUCAUUCAAAGUGAGUGGAACUGGGGGGUCCGAGAGGCCCGUCCAGCAUCCUGUCUUGUCAGCUGGUGGGUCCAAGUUACCUGUUGUGCCAUCAGCAGCUUUUACUCAGUCGCCUGCUGCGUCACCACCUGCUCCUACGGCUGCCACGCCGCCGUCUGGUCCUGCUGCUGUCCAGUCCACGUCCAGCACCUCAACAUCGCCGGCCACUUUCCAGGCCACUGGCUGGACAUCAACGCCGUCGUGGGCAGCCUCUUGAAUUGUGUCGCCGCCGUCUUUCACGCAGACAGCCUCCGGACCUCCUCUGUCGCCACUGCUGGCUCCGAAGUUGUCCUCCUGAGCUGUUGAGUUGCCGUCACUUUCCACGUGGCCUGCUACCUGAACUGUUGGGCCAUGAACUCCUGUGCCGUCGCCCUCCUGAAAGGUUUACGAACUGUUUCCUGAGCUUGAGUGCCUUUCCUAGACUUUUAUUUUGGACUGUUUCAUAAGCUCCAGGUUUUCUUGUGAAACUUUUGCUCUGGCUUUUCAGUUUCAUGUGUCUUAUGAUAAUGUGUUCAGACUGCCUGUAGGGGAGAGCUGCUUUUUGUUUUAUGAUUUCCCCCCCCCCUUUUUUUUUUUUUUUUCCUCCCCCCCUUUUCCUCCCCCUUUCUGCUUAUGUGUUGGGUUGGGUAAGUUAUUAUUGUAGGUGUCAUGGUCUGGGUGAGUCUGCAGUUGGCUCCACCUUUGGGUGGGGAAUCCAAUUAGCCUUCACAUCUGACUGCAAUCAAGUCACUAGCAUUUAAGAAUAGCACUCACAACAGACCGCUGCCGGUUUUCUGAGUUUCUCGCAUUCUCAUCAUGAGUCACUGUAAAUCAAACACUGUAUUCACAUCAGUUUUGCCUCCAUCUGUUUCUGCACUUGAGUCCACACACACAGCCUGGCCCUUUCGGCUGUAACAGUAGGUUGAAUAUUUUGUUUUCUUUGGAGUUAGGUAAGUUAUUUUGUUAUGCUGGCCUUAGCACUCUCUGAAAUGUCAGUCUGAACCAGAACUUUAAAACUAGCAGGAAAUAAACCUUUGAAAACUGC